rnacentral:lncRNA from 1 species
GUUACCUGUACUCUAGUCCCUGCGCAGUCCCCGCAGCUCCUGGACAGUGGAUAAAGAGGACCGGGGAGUCACUGGUGCCCAAGGCUCUCUGCCGAAACUGCCUGGACGAUGAUCCGCCGGCCUGGCCAAUAUUAGCAGUCACCACCAAAGCAGGGGGUGCCCUGGCUGUGGCGCUAGGAGGUGGGGGCUAUGUGGAGGUGGUGGGGAGUGGGUGUAGCUUUACUUAGAGUGACACUUGGCAGUUACUUGACACCCUGGAAUGUUGGUGGACGUGGCACUGGUAAAAU